GAUCAUAUAUAAAUAGGAUGGCAGUGAAUGGCAGUUAAAAGCUGGUGCUUUAGUAUUAGCUGAUGGUGGACUGUGUUGCAUAGAUGAGUUUAAUAGUAUUAAUGAUAGAGACAGAUCCUGUAUACAUGAAGCAAUGGAGCAACAAACUAUUAGUGUUGCAAAGGUUGGCCUUGUGUGCAAGUUAAACAUUCGUUGUUCUAUUCUAGCAGCAACUAAUCCUAAGGGAAACUAUGAUCCUGAACUAAGUACAGGUAUUAAUGUUGCAUUGGCUAGUCCACUGUUGAGUCGUUUUGAUGUUGUACUGGUAUUACUUGAUAGUUAUAGA